rnacentral:rRNA from 1 species
UACGGAGGAUGCGAGCGUUAUCCGGAUUUAUUGGGUUUAAAGGGAGCGUAGACGGCCGUUUAAGUCAGCUGUGAAAUGGUGCGGCUCAACCGUAGCACUGCAGUUGAAACUGGUCGGCUUGAGUGCAGUUGAGGCAGGCGGAAUUCGUGGUGUAGCGGUGAAAUGCUUAGAUAUCACGAAGAACCCCGAUUGCGAAGGCAGCCUGCUAAGCUGCAACUGACGUUGAGGCUCGAAAGUGUGGGUAUCAAACAGG